rnacentral:rRNA from 1 species
GAUAAACGCUGGCGGCGUGCAUAACACAUGCAAGUCGAACGAUGAACCUUAUUAGAUUUCUUCGGAAUGAAAAUAAGUGGAUUAGUGGCGAACGGGUGAGUAACACGUGAGUAACCUGCCUUACACAAGGGGAUAGCCUUUGGAAACGAAGAAUAAUACCCUAUAAAGUUAGUCAAUCGCAUGGUAGACUAACCAAAGAUUUAUCGGUGUAAGAUGGACUUGCGUCUGAUUAGCUAGUUGGUGAGAUAAAAGCCCACCAAGGCGACGAUCAGUAGCCGGCUUGAGAGAGUGUACGGCCACAUUGGGACUGAGACACGGCCCAAACUCCUACGGGAGGCAGCAGUGGGGAAUUUGCACAAUGGGGGAAACCCUGAUGCAGCGACGCCGCGUGAUUUAGAAGGCCUUCGGGUUGUAAAAAUCUUUUUUAUGGGAUGAAAAUGACAGUACUAUAAGAAUAAGGUCCGGCUAAAUACGUGCCAGCAGCCGCGGUAAUACGUAUGGACCGAGCGUUGUCCGGAAUCAUUGGGCGUAAAGGGUACGUAGGCGGCCUAGUAAGUUAGGAGUGAAAUAAUAUAGCUCAACUAUAUAAAGCUUUUAAAACUGUUAGGCUUGAGAGAUGAAAGGGAAAGUGGAAUUCCUAGUGUAGCGGUGAAAUGCGCAGAUAUUAGGAAGAAUACCGGUGGCGAAGGCGACUUUCUGGUCAUCAUCUGACGCUGAGGUACGAAAGCGUGGGUAGCAAACAGGAUUAGAUACCCUGGUAGUCCACGCUGUAAACGAUGAGUGUUAGGUUCUUGGAAUAAUCUGGGAGCCGCAGCUAACGCAUUAAACACUCCGCCUGGGGAGUACGCACGCAAGUGUGAAACUCAAAGGAAUUGACGGGGACCCGCACAAGCAGCGGAGCAUGUGGUUUAAUUCGACGCAACGCGAAGAACCUUACCAAGUCUUGACAUAAUACGGAGGGAGUUAGAGAUAAUUCCUUAUCACUUCGGUGAGCUGUAUUACAGGUGGUGCAUGGUUGUCGUCAGCUCGUGUCGUGAGAUGUUGGGUUAAGUCCCAUAACGAGCGCAACCCCUAUCGUUAGUUACCAUCAUUAAGUUGGGGACUCUAGCGACACUGCCGGUGAUAAACCGGAGGAAGGUGGGGACGACGUCAAAUCAUCAUGCCCUUUAUGACUUGGGCUACACACGUGCUACAAUGGCAGAUACAGAGGGCAGCGAAAGAGCGAUCUGAAGCGAAACUCACAAAGUCUGUCCCAGUUCGGAUUGUACUCUGCAACUCGAGUACAUGAAGUUGGAGUUGCUAGUAAUCGCGAAUCAGAAUGUCGCGGUGAAUGAGUUCCCGGGUCU